UGCGGAUCUUGCGCUUGGCGUUACCCUCAGUGCCGGGCGCGUAGGGCUCCCGCUCGUUGGUCAGGUAGCGCAGGAUGGCCAGCUAGGCGGACCCGACAUUUCGGUAACAGUUUCUGGCGACCCAGAUGGGACCCUCCUAGCUUGGACAUCGGACUCCGGAUGGCUGCGGCGAACUAGGAGCGGCGCCACUGAGGUGUGUAGCCCCUCUUCCUCACUUCACCGUGGCCCCUGGGGUUCAUGCUCUGAUAAGUCUUGAGGCAGUUGGAGCUGGUCCUAAGCUGUUUUUUGCAAGCAGAUUGCAGAAGUGCAGGGUUUGCUAACCACCAAUCAAAUGCUAACAUGACUAAAGCCUCUGUGUGAGUAUGCAUAAAAGAUUCUUGGUCUUUGUAUGGAGUAGAAUUUUUUGUACCAAGGUACAGAACUCUCCUUUCUUCUGCAGAAUAAAGCAACCUUUCCUUAUCCCUGUCUGGGUUUUCAUUGGCUCUCAGCUAGGCGGACCCAGCAUUUCGAUAACAAUUUUCAUGUAAUAUGCAGUAGUCCAAUCUACAUUGAAGAAACCCACUCUGGGCACUUCAGUCCUAGCCAACUAUCUCCCAGUGUCAAACCCAUCAUUCCUGAGCAAGCUCAUAGAGAAGCUAGUCAAAGGUUGACUACAAGAUCAUCUAACUAAAGCCAACAUUCUAGAGCUGGCACAAUCUGGAUUUAGGCCAGGAUACAGAACUGAAACUGCUUUAGUGGCACUGACGGAUGAUUGCCCAUCUAUGGGUAGAGGAAAGACAACCAUUCUCAUCCUCUUGGACCAGUCUGUAAUCUUUGACACUGUUGACAAUGAGAUACUAUUGUCUUGCCUAAGAGCGGUGACAGGAAUCAAGGGUAAUGUGCCACAGUUAUUUGAGUCCUUCCUGGAGGGUGUACAAAAAUAGUAAUGAUGGGAAAUUGCACCUCUACCACUAGAUCCCUCACUUGUGGGGUUCCACAAGCAGGGGUGCUGGAAUAGUUUUCUACUUCAAGUCAGGGGGUGCAGCAGCACCCCCAACAUCCCUAAUUCCAGUACCACAGUCCAUAAGGAUCAAUUCUCUCUCUCAUUCUUUUCAACAUCUAUAUGUAAACACUAGAUUAACCGGUCAUACAACAAAUACUCAAGUGCCAGCAAUAUGCAGAUGACACACAGUUCUACCUAUCCUUCACCACAUCACUACGAUGAGGAUGAUCAGUCUUUGGAUGAGAUCAGCUCAUGGAUGAAGAACAACUGGCUGAAACUGAACAAAACAGAGGUGUUGCUGGUGGGCAGAGGAAAGUAUUUUGAGGCAUUUGCAGCCAUGAUGCAGUCUUCUUUGAUUCAAGGUUCACACCCACAAUUGGUCAAUUCAGUCCAUAGUCUAGGGGAACUCUUGGAUUCCUCAAUGAUGCUGAGCUCUCACAUUGAAACAGUUGCAGGUAAUGCAAGACCUGGACUCAGUUAUUCAUGUUUUCAUCAUCUCUUUGCUGUACUAGAGCAAUGUGAUGUACCUGUACAUGAAAUCUUCUGCACUUAGGAAACUCCAGCUAGUACAAAAUGCUGCCGUACGUCUCCUCUGCAACACGGGCUACCAUGAGUGUAUCAUGCCUAUCCUCUGUUCUCUACAAUGCUUCCCAUAAAAUAUCAUGUCCAUCAAAUAACAAAUCAUCCACUCAAUGUGCAGCGGCAGUCAAGAAAGGAAUCAUUAAGAAAGGGAUAGA